GACGAACCGUGUGAACGUUGUUCGGAAUCACUGGGCUUAAAGGGCGCGUAGGCGGCGGAUCGAGUCCGGGGUGAAAGCCCCCAGCUUAACUGGGGAAGGGCCUCGGAGACUGGUCCGCUCGAGGGAGGUAGGGGUCGCGGGAACUUCCGGUGGAGCGGUGAAAUGCGUUGAUAUCGGAAGGAACGCCGGUGGCGAAAGCGCGCGACUGGACCUCUUCUGACGCUGAGGCGCGAAAGCCAGGGGAGCGAACGGG
rnacentral:rRNA from 1 species